rnacentral:rRNA from 1 species
UACGGAGGGUGCAAGCGUUAUCCGGAUUCACUGGGUUUAAAGGGUGCGUAGGAGGGCAGGUAAGUCAGUGGUGAAAUCUUCGAGCUUAACUCGGAAACUGCCGUUGAUACUAUCUGUCUUGAAUACCGUGGAGAUGAGCGGAAUAUGUCAUGUAGCGGUGAAAUGCUUAGAUAUGACAUAGAACACCAAAUUGCGAAGGCAGCUCGUUACACGAAUAUUGACUCUGAGGCACGAAAGCGUGGGGAUCAAACAGG